CUGGCGUUCAUGGGCGUGACUAACCGCGUCUGUCUGUUAAAGGUAGCAGGUUGUACAUGGCGAGCGGGUUACUCACUGAGGGUUGGUGAUUGGUGUAAUGGAAGCCGUCUCUGAACCGCAUUUAAUGACGGAGAACUACAGGAGUGGAGAGAAAACGCAGCACUGAGCAACUUGUAGACUUCACACCCGACUGUAGAAUCCCUUCUAUUGUGUGCUGGAAGAUCGCUGGACUUGAAGCAACUCCAAAUGGUGGCCUGUUUGUCCAAAGCCCAGGCUGACCCCCCACCCCUUCAACCUUUGCAGCAAUGCUGGCAGCACUAUUUCCCAAAGACAACCUCUGGAUAUGACGCUGAGCACGUGCAAUCAACUUCUUCUUUGGUCGACCAUGGCGAGGCCUGUUCUGAGUGGAACCUGUCCUGUUAAACCGCUGUAUGGUCUGGGCCACCGUGCUGCAGCUCAGUGUCAGGGUCUUGUGCCCAACGCCCGUGGUGGUGGCAGUGCAUGGCGUGUGUGUGGAAGCAGGAGUGGAUCUAAUCACAGCCUGUGAUAUUCGUCUGUGCACACAGGAUGCCUGGUUUCAGGUGAAGUCGUGUGUUCCCUGAUAGUACAUGAUUGCUGGAGCUCUGGAAAUAGCAGGUGAGAUUGCAGGCCGGAGUCGCGUCACUGUCCAAGGAACCAAAAUCAACCUCCUCUGCUCCUGAGACCACAGUGUAACUGAGAGCCUAGACUACAUGGCUACUUGGAACAUGAACAUGUUGCAGACACAGGAUCUUAUGAAGUCAGCGCAGGCAGCCCUGGAAAAGAAGAGUCCGAAAGACGUGCCCUUCUCCAAGCUUUAAAGGAGAAGAUCCAGGGCUGUUGAAGCUGCGGUGGAACUGAGACAUCAUCAUCCACAUAUCUUUAGUUCUUCUUGCUAAGUCUGUUUCUUUUUAGUCUUUUUAUUUUUAGACUGGUCAAAAGACUGAUUAGUGGAAGUGAAAUGAUAGAUGAACUUUUAUUUACUUGCUUUAUUAUUUGCAGGUGCCUUGUACAGUAAGACAGGGUAACUAAUACUCAAAAGCUUUUUUUGUGUGUUAACAUGUACAGUAGAUGGACAUAUUUUUUCUGGUGCUGUGACUGCAGAAUGUAGUGCAGUUAACACAUAAAAUUUCCUUGGAUGCUCACUUUUAACUCUAGGAGGUCACAGUUUGCCCAGACAUCUUUUUUUAAAUCCGUCAAUCCGUCACCCACACGUCAUUCUGGGGGACGAAGAGGAGGAAGCUGGACAGAUAAAUUUAUUUAUUUAUUUAUCAUUGCUGUGUUUCCUUAAUCGAGUGCAGAAAGAAGAAAAACAACACAACUGAUUUAAAAUAAAAAUAUAGAAAAUAAUCUAAUGUAAGAUUCUGAUCCGGUUUGCUUUCAGCAGGAAGGCUGUCCUCUUUCCUGUUGCUCUUUCUCUUCUAUUAGUCCAUUUGUCCAGUCUGAAUCAGUUUUGAUUCGUUUCGAGACGAUUCGGAGUCGAAUAAUUUUCUAGUGAGAGUCGCACACUUCCAAACGAACUAGACUGAGAUGAGUAUUUGAUUCUCACUAGAAAGUGAUUCGACUCUGAAUAAACUCGAAAUGAAUCAGUCAAACUGAUCCAGACUCUAUAAAAGGACUAUGAGAUGUGAUUAAGAUAUAUAUUCCAAUGUUUUGCUUUACAAUUCCAUUGUGUGUGUGUGUGUGUGUGUGUGUGUGUGUGUAUGUGUGUGCGUGCGCGCGCACGUGUGUUUUUCAGGAGAACGAGAAACUCGGACACAACAGUACAUCCUGACCAUUGGUACUGUGUACACAUCAACAUACACACACGUCUCCAUGCUGGACAUCUCAGGAGCUUUCACACAGUGCUAGGAAUAUCCCGGGACAGAGAAACGCACCUUCUAAGUGAGCGAGUUUAGCGUCAACCGGUGAAAUUUGCUGUAGCGUGAACACUUCGCCUCUGUGAGCUUCACUCUCCGUAGGGUUCACUGUAAUUAGACAUAAAAUGUACAUAGUUUAUUUUUCAUGCAUUUAGGAUUUAAUGUUUUUUUUUUUUUUUACUCUUCGAGGAACAGAAAUGAUCUUUCGAGGCAGCUUCUUCAUCACUACCUGCUCCGUUUGACUCAAAAAUGUAACGACCGGUUUCAAAAAGUCACGAUGUCUUCAGUUCAUGAGAUUUUACUGUUGAAUUUAAACAGGAAAUGUGAAAUAUUUUUCCCUUUGUUUCCUCUACUGUCUUUUUGCUGUGAUCUUGAACACAGUUGUAAUUUUUUUAAAAAAAAUAAUUAAAAAAAUGAUAAUUCUAGUUCUCUCACUUUCCUUGUCCUAAUUGUCCUGUAUCUGUUAAAUCCGUUUCAUCUCUGGUCUUUCUGUCUGUAUGAACACUUGUAGAAAUGACUUCUAGUCCAUAUUUUUAAAUGAUUCGUGAUUUUGAAUUUAAAUAAAGAUAUUCUUUAAUUCUG